AGUUUGAUCCUGGCUCAGGACGAACGCUGGCGGCGUGCUUAACACAUGCAAGUCGAACGGUGAUGUCAGAGCUUGCUCUGGCGGAUCAGUGGCGAACGGGUGAGUAACACGUGAGUAACCUGCCCCCGACUCUGGGAUAACUGCUAGAAAUGGUAGCUAAUACCGGAUAUGACGAUUGGCCGCAUGGUCUGGUCGUGGAAAGAAUUUCGGUUGGGGAUGGACUCGCGGCCUAUCAGGUUGUUGGUGAGGUAAUGGCUCACCAAGCCUACGACGGGUAGCCGGCCUGAGAGGGUGACCGGCCACACUGGGACUGAGACACGGCCCAGACUCCUACGGGAGGCAGCAGUGGGGAAUAUUGCACAAUGGGCGAAAGCCUGAUGCAGCAACGCCGCGUGAGGGAUGACGGCCUUCGGGUUGUAAACCUCUUUUAGUAGGGAAGAAGCGAAAGUGACGGUACCUGCAGAAAAAGCACCGGCUAACUACGUGCCAGCAGCCGCGGUAAUACGUAGGGUGCAAGCGUUGUCCGGAAUUAUUGGGCGUAAAGAGCUCGUAGGCGGUUUGUCGCGUCUGCUGUGAAAUCCCGAGGCUCAACCUCGGGUCUGCAGUGGGUACGGGCAGACUAGAGUGCGGUAGGGGAGAUUGGAAUUCCUGGUGUAGCGGUGGAAUGCGCAGAUAUCAGGAGGAACACCGACGGCGAAGGCAGAUCUCUGGGCCGUAACUGACGCUGAGGAGCGAAAGCAUGGGGAGCGAACAGGAUUAGAUACCCUGGUAGUCCAUGCCGUAAACGUUGGGAACUAGAUGUGGGGACCAUUCCACGGUCUCCGUGUCGCAGCUAACGCAUUAAGUUCCCCGCCUGGGGAGUACGGCCGCAAGGUUAAAACUCAAAGGAAUUGACGGGGGCCCGCACAAGCGGCGGAGCAUGCGGAUUAAUUCGAUGCAACGCGAAGAGCCUUACCAAGGCUUGACAUAUACCGGAAACAUGCAGAAAUGUGUGCCCCGCAAGGUCGGUAUACAGGUGGUGCAUGGUUGUCGUCAGCUCGUGUCGUGAGAUGUUGGGUUAAGUCCCGCAACGAGCGCAACCCUCGUUCUAUGUUGCCAGCACGUAAUGGUGGGAACUCAUAGGAGACUGCCGGGGUCAACUCGGAGGAAGGUGGGGAUGACGUCAAAUCAUCAUGCCCCUUAUGUCUUGGGCUUCACGCAUGCUACAAUGGCCGGUACAAAGGGCUGCGAUACCGUAAGGUGGAGCGAAUCCCAAAAAGCCGGUCUCAGUUCGGAUUGAGGUCUGCAACUCGACCUCAUGAAGUCGGAGUCGCUAGUAAUCGCAGAUCAGCAACGCUGCGGUGAAUACGUUCCCGGGCC
rnacentral:rRNA from 1 species